CCUACGGGAGGCUGCAGUGGGGAAUUUUGCGCAAUGGGCGAAAGCCUGACGCAGCAACGCCGCGUGUGUGACGAAGGCCCUAGGGUUGUAAAGCACUGUGGGAGGGGAAGAAAAAACGGAUGUGUAAUCCGUCUUGACGGUACCCUGUUAGAAAGCACCGGCUAACUCCGUGCCAGCAGCCGCGGUAAUACGGAGGGUGCAAGCGUUGUUCGGAAUUAUUGGGCGUAAAGGGCGUGUAGGUGGCAUUCCAAGUCUGGUGUGAAAGCCCACGGCUC
rnacentral:rRNA from 1 species